rnacentral:lncRNA from 1 species
CUAUUGGAGGUGGGGAAGAAGCAUCUUUCUGAUGGAAAGAGUACCAUGCCAAUCCAAUCAAGUGUUGGGCUCUUAUUUUCGACAUGGUUGAUUAUGGUCUUCCUCUUACCUGGUGCACCAAUCUGUUGUGGCUAACUCUCUGUCGUCUGUAAAUCUAUUGCGGCCAACUCUCUGUCAUCUGUUGUCGGUGAUGAACACCUGCAAAACAACAUCCUCACAGACCAGAGUUAUAUCCAGCGGGGAUCCUCCGAUGCUUAAAUCGAAAAAAAAAUUGAUGAACAGUAGAUUUGAAUGUCGAGAGUAGCAGAGCUCUGGUUCAAAAGUGUCUUACAUGUACUGUUU